GGGAUGAUACACGGGGCCCAAGCCCAACAAAUAAAGACCAACAACCCAACCCAAGGAGAAGGGUAAAGAGAGAUUUCCACAAGGGAAGGGGGUGACUUUAGCAAGAUGAGAGAUGUCUCAAGAAAUUCCCAUUCUUCACACGUCACUGCAUCUGAAGCAUGAUUUUGGCUGAAAACGUUGUUGCACCUCCACGGAAGAUUGCUUGUUGAUUCCAGAAAUCCUUCACGCCUUCCAUGCUGCAUCGACGUGUCUUCAUCUGCAUCAAUUGGUUUUCAUCUUCACCGUCCAAGAGCUUGUGGAAUUCUAUAUAAAUUCUGCUUGUAUUUGUAGCUAGAAUUACUUUUGAACCUUGAGAAAUAUAUUCUGCUAAUGCAUUUCUAAUUAUGUUUCUUUCAGAAGUCACCCUUCCUGUGCUUCCCUCUCUUUCCCUCUAGCUUCUUUCCAAGCAUGGAGAGCCAUCUAAGUUAGAUACCAUUCCCAAAACAACACUUCAUCCACACACCUUCAUCUACUUCCGCUGCCAUUUGUUUUCACACAGAGCAACCAUGGAGUCAACUGCUGCUGCUGCAAUUUGGAGUUUAUCAAACUUUCUUCUCAACCAAUCUUACUCAUUCCCAACUUCUUCCUUUUCUUUUAUUUUUACAUUAAGCUCAUAUGUCAUGCUUGUUCUUUUCUUUUUCUUUUCUCAUGCUUUUUCUUUUAUUCACACUUGAGCUCAAUGUCUUUCUUUUGCCUUUUCCCCAAAACAACCCCAGACGUGAACCUUUUCACUACCAUACAAUUAUUCUCAACCCAACUCAAGGUAAAUAUUUUCAAAGCAAGCAUUUUUAUCCUGUUUAAGGCUAAGGUUCAAAAAGCGUAAAUCACAUAAUUUCAAUCACUUUGGGCGAAAAUUUGGCUAAGUAAGGGCUUCCAAAAAUGGCCUUGAUCAUAUGACAUAAGCAUGUAAUUCAAUCAAUUAUAAAGACUCAGGCAAUAUCAUUCGUGCUUCCAUAUGAACAGCACAUAUAUCAAUGAACACGCUAGAGCUCAAAACCUCGCACAACUAUGCUUUCUCACACAUCAUUCAUACACCCUGCUUAGCAUCAUAACCACAAUCAUAAAGCAUCAAGAAAACUCAUCAUGCAAUAACAUUAAGUCAAACCAUAGUCAGAAACAAUGUUCAAGCCAAGCACAAACACUUAUACUACGUAAUAGAAUUCAACCUGGUCUAAAAUUCAAAGUACAAAAGAGAAAUAUAAAACCUCUGUCCUAAGCACUGACAUCUAUCAGUAAAUGCCCUCUCAACUCAUAUCAUCAUCGGAGUCCUCCUGAUCUCCAGCUUUCUGAUAACGGUU
rnacentral:lncRNA from 1 species